rnacentral:rRNA from 1 species
UACAGAGGGUGCGAGCGUUAAUCGGAAUUACUGGGCGUAAAGCGCGCGUAGGCGGCUUUGCAAGUCGGGUGUGAAAUCCCCAGGCUUAACCUGGGAACUGCAUUCGAGACUGCAUUGCUAGAGUAUGGGAGAGGGAAGUGGAAUUUCCGGUGUAGCGGUGAAAUGCGUAGAUAUCGGAAGGAACAUCAGUGGCGAAAGCGGCGAUCUGGGAAGUUACUGACGCUGAGGUGCGAAAGCGUGGGGAGCAAACAGG